rnacentral:rRNA from 1 species
CGGUAAUACGGAGGAUCCAAGCGUUAUCCGGAUUUAUUGGGUUUAAAGGGUGCGUAGGCGGAUUUUUAAGUCAGUGGUGAAAGUUUGUAGCUCAACUAUAAAAUUGCCAUUGAAACUGAAGAUCUUGAGUGUAAAUGAGGUAGGCGGAAUGUGUUGUGUAGCGGUGAAAUGCUUAGAUAUAACACAGGACACCAAUUGCGAAGGCAGCUUACUGGGAUACAACUGACGCUGAGGCACGAAAGCGUGGGGAUCAAACAGGAUUAGAUACCCUGGUAGUCCACGCAGUAAACGAUGAAUACUAGCUGUAUGCGAUAUACUGUAUGUGGCAAAGCGAAAGCGUUAAGUAUUCCACCUGGGGAGUACGUUCGCAAGAAUGAA